rnacentral:rRNA from 1 species
GUGUCGGGCGAAAACCCUUUGUUUCCCCUUAAGGGUUAAACCAAGCCAAAAGGUUAAUUGGGUUUGGGGCCAACUAUAGGGGGAAGGACUUGCCCCGGUGGGACCAAAACCCGGGAAGGAAAGGGUUGGGGGGAUGAACGUCAAGUCUUCAUGGGCCCUUAACGGUCUUGGGGCUACACACGUGGCUACAAUGGUUCGGUACAAAGGGUUGCCAAGCCGCGAGGUGGAGCUAAUCCCAUAAAACCGAUCGUAGUCCGGAUCGCAGUCUGCAACUCGACUGCGUGAAGUCGGAAUCGCUAGUAAUCGUGAAUCAGAAUGUCACGGUGAAUA